rnacentral:rRNA from 1 species
AUGGCGACCGGCGCACGGGUGAGUAACACGUAUCCAACCUGCCGAUGACUCGGGGAUAGCCUUUCGAAAGAAAGAUUAAUACCCGAUGGCAUAGUUCUUCCGCAUGGUGGAGCUAUUAAAGAAUUUCGGUCAUCGAUGGGGAUGCGUUCCAUUAGGUUGUUGGCGGGGUAACGGCCCACCAAGCCUUCGAUGGAUAGGGGUUCUGAGAGGAAGGUCCCCCACAUUGGAACUGAGACACGGUCCAAACUCCUACGGGAGGCAGCAUG